AAAUGAAUUGACGGGGACCCGCACAAGUAGUGGAGCAUGUUGUUUAAUUCGAUGAUACGCGAAAAACCUUACCGAGGCUUGACAUGUCCGUCGCGACUUCCCAAAAGGGUUGUCUUCAAUUCGGUUGGACGGAACACAGAUGUUGCAUGGCUGUCGUCAGCUCGUGUCGUGAGAUGUUGGGUUAAGUCCCGCAACGAGCGCAACCCUCAUCGUUAGUUGCCAUCGGGUAAUGCCGGGAACUCUAACGAAACUGCCGGUGACAAGCUGGAGGAAGGUGGGGAUGACGUCAAGUCCGCAUGACUCUUACGCCUCGGGCUACAAACGUGCUACAAUGGCGCUUACAGAAAGUCGCUAAGCCGCAAGGCCCAGCCAAUCUCGAAAAAGCGUCUCAGUUCAGAUUGUCCCCUGCAACUCGGGGGCAUGAAGUCGGAAUUACUAGUAAUCGCGGAUCAGCAUGCCGCGGUGAAUACGUUCUCGGGUCUUGUACACACCGCCCGU
rnacentral:rRNA from 1 species